AGGGUUCGAUUCUGGCUCAGGAUGAACGCUGGCGGCGUGCUUAACACAUGCAAGUCGAACGGGAUCCCAGGAGCUUGCUCCUGGGUGAGAGUGGCGAACGGGUGAGUAAUGCGUGACCGACCUGCCCCAUACACCGGAAUAGCUCCUGGAAACGGGUGGUAAUGCCGGAUGCUCCAGUUGACCGCAUGGUCCUCUGGGAAAGCUUUUGCGGUAUGGGAUGGGGUCGCGUCCUAUCAGCUUGAUGGCGGGGUAACGGCCCACCAUGGCUUCGACGGGUAGCCGGCCUGAGAGGGCGACCGGCCACAUUGGGACUGAGAUACGGCCCAGACUCCUACGGGAGGCAGCAGUGGGGAAUAUUGCACAAUGGGGGAAACCCUGAUGCAGCAACGCCGCGUGAAGGAUGACGGUUUUCGGAUUGUAAACUUCUUUUCUUAGUGACGAAGACAGUGACGGUAGCUAAGGAAUAAGCAUCGGCUAACUACGUGCCAGCAGCCGCGGUAAUACGUAGGAUGCAAGCGUUAUCCGGAUUUACUGGGUGUAAAGGGAGCGCAGGCGGGACUGCAAGUUGGAUGUGAAAUACCGUGGCUUAACCACGGAACUGCAUCCAAAACUGUAGUUCUUGAGUGAAGUAGAGGCAAGCGGAAUUCCGAGUGUAGCGGUGAAAUGCGUAGAUAUUCGGAGGAACACCAGUGGCGAAGGCGGCUUGCUGGGCUUUAACUGACGCUGAGGCUCGAAAGUGUGGGGAGCAAACAGGAUUAGAUACCCUGGUAGUCCACACUGUAAACGAUGAUAGCUAGGUGUGGGGGGUCUGACCCCUUCCGUGCCGGAGUUAACGCAAUAAGCUAUCCACCUGGGGAGUACGACCGCAAGGUUGAAACUCAAAGGAAUUGACGGGGGCC
rnacentral:rRNA from 1 species